AGGAUCAUUAUCGAGUUAGACCGGGAAAGGGGUUUCCUCGGACUCCCCCUUUCUAGUUUUCCUUAUUCACCCGUGCACCCUUUGUAGGCCCUCGAGAGAGGAUCUACGUUUUCUAUAAUCUACUCUAUUGCAUGUCCAGAACGUACACAAACUUUUACAACUUUCAGCAACGGAUCUCUUGGCUCUCGCAUCGAUGAAGAACGCAGCGAAUUGCGAUAAGUAAUGUGAAUUGCAGAUUUUCAGUGAAUCAUCGAAUCUUUGAACGCACCUUGCGCUCCUUGGUAUUCCGAGGAGCAUGCCUGUUUGAGUGUCAUGGAAUUCUCAACCGUGUCUCGAUCUGAUCUCGAGGCAUGGCUUGGACUUGGGAGUUGCUGGCGGUCUCGUCAGCUCUUCUCAAACACAUUAGCGACGUUCGUCAAGCCUGACGUGCGCGGCCUUUGUCCGACGUGAUAACGAUCGUCGUGGGGCUGGAGCGUAGGGCGAGCGGUGAAUCGCUUCCAAUUCCUUAGACUUUUGGUCCUUCAUCACUUUGAAAGGAUCAAUCCAUGGUCUUUUAGAUCUCGAUCUUGACGAGGGGGGGAACUUUGACCUUCGAGAGACCCAAGCCUUAGUUACUAGUCGGUCGUGAGCCCGACGAACGCAAGGUCUAGGUUUGAAACUUUGAAGCAAUUGUAAUUCUCUCGGUCUCGAUCCUCGAUCCUUUGAACUCUUGACCUCAAAUCAGGUAGGACUACCCGCUGAACUUAAGCAUAUCAAUAAGCGGAGGAAAAGAAACUAACAAGGAUUCCCCUAGUAACUGCGAGUGAAGCGGGAAAAGCUCAAAUUUUGAAUCUGGCGGUC
rnacentral:rRNA from 1 species